rnacentral:pre_miRNA from 1 species
ACCACUGAGCCACCUUCCCAGCCCCAUCAUAUAUUUUUUAAAGGGAUGGGUACUCGGGCUGGGAAGGUGGCUCAGUGGU